rnacentral:snRNA from 15 species
CUACUUACCUGAUGGGGGAUAGAUUGAGAUCAAUAACAUGGCCUUUCUGGGUAAGGAUAUUCUUUGCAUUCCAGAUACGUUGAAUCUUGUGAUUUCCUUGAAUGUGGAGAAGCUGACUGCAUAACUUGUAGUGAAAGACUGUAUUUACACCUUUAAA